rnacentral:sRNA from 1 species
CGAGCCAAUUUGGCUCACCCAUGCACCAAAUGCACACAUGCACAAAUGCACGAAGUAUCUUGGGGAACGUCCACUGUCAUGAUGCAAUAAUUUGUGCCAUCAAGCCACCGAACAAUACGAUCAUACGAUAUCUUCGGCGAGUGCCAGGCCUCGACCUCUCUUCUCUCUGUGGGAGAAAACCAGCUCGCAUGCGGGCUUGAUGGUUUCUAGGAAAUGGAACCUAUAAAUCUACGUUUCGAAUGAAAGAGGAGCGGCUGUGGCAAGGCGAGAAGGCGGCAAGGCGGCAACCUAAUUGACAAGACGAGCGAUGACAAUAAUGGCCGAUCCACCUGAGUGGUCUGUGACGUCGGAUGCCCAUGAAUAUGUAUGCCACGAACCGAUCCACGAUCCGAGAGAUGAUCUCAUUUUGGAAAUACAGCCUAGCCUGGAAAUAAAGCUAGGAAAUGCAACGCAACCAACCCCUAUCCUGAAACAGAAGAAAGCAGUGCAAUAUUUUUGCUCUGUUGCGACGUGCUCCCGCUACCCUCCCCAUUUCCCAGGGGGUGUGGGGCGCUCAUCAGCAAUACAUCCCCAUAGAGGCAUCCAUCGCCAUCGAAAGGCCAUUUCAAUUCAGUGCCCCUUACGUCAGCGUUACGAUGUAUCGCUGGCAACGCUUUGAGGUGUGCCGGCAGAUAGCCAGAGCCCGGAGCGGAGACGGAGACAGUGGCAGUGGUAGAGGCAGAAGCAGAGGCAGAGGCAGAGGCAGAGACAGAGGCACGAGACACAAUUUCAAGCACCUGCAAGAUUUUUCUCUCAAUUGAAUUUCGCUUUGUGCCGAACCGCCACCGCGGCCAAUUGACCGGAAAGAGGGGUGCCGGUGGGGCGGGGCGGAGGUGAUUUUGUGGUCGGACGAUUUGUGUAACGUGCAAUAAAUAAAUUACCCAUAGAAUUGAA